GAUAAUUAUAAUGAAAGACCUCCCUUAUAUUAUGUUAUUCUUUACACUUUCCUCCGUGGUAGAUACCAACAUCGCGUGCAACCAAAUUGGAGAGCUUUGGCAUUUAAUACACCAACCCUGAGGUACAUUCAAGAACAUAUUAAAAUUUAAAACGAGAGGUAAGAAUUGUUCUUGAAAUAUAACAUGCUAAAUGGCCCAGCAAAAGUAAAAUGACAAUGAGGAAAAGGAUCGGAUAGCCCAUCAUCACAUGAUAAACUCAACUAUCGUAAUACUUUCUAGAUAAUUAGCUAGAAUUUAGUAUAUAGAUGUUUCAUUGUUGUGCCAAGAACUGAGAUUUGCUACACGAUCCUUGAUCUUCUGAUGAAGAUCAAACAAACACACGCACAAACACAGCAACCAGAACAGAAAGAAGAAAGAAAGAAUCACACACACAGUUGCUUCUGGUUCAAGUAAGAACAAUGUGUUCUUCCUCUCACCCAAUGAACAAUGCUCUCAAACCUAUGAUUUCACUUGAGAGUUGAAUCUUCCUCUCACAAUACAAUUAUAGAUUUCUCUCAAUAAUAGAAACUGAAAUCAACUCUAAUUACCACUAGAAUUGGUUGAAGCUAUAUAUACAUGCUUCAACACUCU
rnacentral:lncRNA from 1 species